UGGAAAGCUUUUGUGGUUUUGGAUGGACUCGCGGCCUAUCAGCUUGUUGGUGGGGUAAUGGCCUACCAAGGCGACGACGGGUAGCCGGCCUGAGAGGGUGACCGGCCACACUGGGACUGAGACACGGCCCAGACUCCUACGGGAGGCAGCAGUGGGGAAUAUUGCACAAUGGGCGCAAGCCUGAUGCAGCGACGCCGCGUGAGGGAUGACGGCCUUCGGGUUGUAAACCUCUUUCAGUAGGGAAGAAGCGUAAGUGACGGUACCUGCAGAAGAAGCGCCGGCUAACUACGUGCCAGCAGCCGCGGUAAUACGUAGGGCGCAAGCGUUAUCCGGAAUUAUUGGGCGUAAAGAGCUCGUAGGCGGUUUGUCGCGUCUGCUGUGAAAGACCGGGGCUCAACUCCGGUUCUGCAGUGGGUACGGGCAGACUAGAGUGCAGUAGGGGAGACUGGAAUUCCUGGUGUAGCGGUGAAAUGCGCAGAUAUCAGGAGGAACACCGAUGGCGAAGGCAGGUCUCUGGGCUGUAACUGACGCUGAGGAGCGAAAGCAUGGGGAGCGAACAGGAUUAGAUACCCUGGUAGUCCAUGCCGUAAACGUUGGGCACUAGGUGUGGGGGACAUUCCACGUUUUCCGCGCCGUAGCUAACGCAUUAAGUGCCCCGCCUGGGGAGUACGGCCGCAAGGCUAAAACUCAAAGGAAUUGACGGGGGCCCGCACAAGCGGCGGAGCAUGCGGAUUAAUUCGAUGCAACGCGAAGAACCUUACCAAGGCUUGACAUGAACCGGUAAUGCCUGGAAACAGGUGCCCCGCUUGCGGUCGGUUUACAGGUGGUGCAUGGUUGUCGUCAGCUCGUGUCGUGAGAUGUUGGGUUAAGUCCCGCAACGAGCGCAACCCUCGUUCUAUGUUGCCAGCGCGUGAUGGCGGGGACUCAUAGGAGACUGCCGGGGUCAACUCGGAGGAAGGUGGGGACGACGUCAAAUCAUCAUGCCCCUUAUGUCUUGGGCUUCACGCAUGCUACAAUGGCCGGUACAAAGGGUUGCGAUACUGUGAGGUGGAGCUAAUCCCAAAAAGCCGGUCUCAGUUCGGAUUGGGGUCUGCAACUCGACCCCAUGAAGUCGGAGUCGCUAGUAAUCGCAGAUCA
rnacentral:rRNA from 1 species